rnacentral:rRNA from 1 species
CAAUAGCGUAUAUUAAAGUUGUUGCGGUUAAAAAGCUCGUAGUUGGAUUUCUGUUGGGAACGACCGGUCCGCCCAUUGGGUGUGUAUCUGGCUUGUUCUCGGCAUCUUCUUGGUGAACGUUGCUGCACUUGACUGUGUGGAGCGCUACCCAGGACUUUUACUUUGAGGAAAUUAGAGUGUUUCAAGCAGGCAUAUGCCUUGAAUACAUUAGCAUGGAAUAAUAAGAUAGGACCUCGGUUCUAUUUUGUUGGUUUCUAGAGCUGAGGUAAUGAUUGAUAGGGAUAGUUGGGGGCAUUCGUAUUUAACUGUCGGAGGUGAAAUUCUUGGAUUUGUUAAAGACGGACUACUGCGAAAGCAUUUGCCAAGGAUGUUUUCAUUGA